GCUGCUUUCUUUACCUGCUGUUACUGCAAGGGACUCUUUUGACUCAUAGACACAGCUCCAGUCAUUUCCUGACUUGCGAUAUUAGGCUAUGAUUUGUUUAUGACUGAGGCUGGUUUCCCUGGCAACAGGACCUCACCAGAGCAUGCGCAUUGCCUCAUCUGCUGUGGCAGAAUGCAGCUGUGGGGCCUAGGGAGGAGUCUUGGGGUCCACAGAGGCUGGAGAGGUAUUCCACAGACAUGACAUCAGGUUUUUCUCCCUAAGCUGAGACUGUUAUUGUACACAGAGUAUUACAUUUAAAACAAAUCCUCAGAAGACUUUGAAAUUCUCUCUUUUCUCUCCCAGAACAACUGCAGUCAGUAGUUUCACCAGUGACCAUGACAUUUUCCCAAUUAUUAAGGUCCCAGAUAUCCUUGUGUGGCUAUAGGAAAGAGACAGCCUGGAAUCAAACCUUCAUCUCUUUCUUGCCAGUUGCAUGACCACAGCACAAUUGUAGACUUCCUGGGCCUCAGGUUCUUCAGUUGUGAAAUGGGAAUAAUAACAACACAUUUAAGAAAAGUGGUACAUAUUAACUAUUAAAGGUGCUCUUUAUUGUUAUUUGUAGAUGUUAAAGGAAAACUGCUGGAACCAGACUUGUGCCUGCGUGGUACAACUAGCUUAUCCUAAUGCCCAUACUGACCAAAUGAGAGACACAUUUACCCAGACAGAAGGCAGACACCUCUCGUGUAGCACACAGAUGACCUGCAACAGAAUGUUGUACUACCCUUGAGGCUCAUUAAUACAUACUACAGUAAAUAGAUUUGCCCCUUAGUACAUACCUUCCAUGUCACUGGGCUCUUUUAGAUGAAAGCAGGCUCUCUUCCACACAGAGACCAAGCUAAUGGACCUUUAUCAGCCCCACACGAUGAUUCUUGUCUCACCAUGGACACAGUGCUUGUAACACAUAGCAAAUCUCAACACUGUAGCUCACCUUUACAUCACACGGAUCCUGUCAAGAAUACAUCGUGUAUACAGACUUUAUUUGUCCAACACAGAUUGCUUCCCAAAGCACACAGAUUCUCCCCAGAACACAUAAGUACUCCACACAGCAAGCCUCUCCCUACAGCAAAUCGCCCCAUGUGUGCUCCACCAACUGAACUCCUGGCUGGUGAAGUUCAUGGGAAACAGACCUCCCUCACAUCACAUUAACACUUGCAAGACCAUGUAGCCUUGUCCACAACACACAGACUCUUGUCACAUCAUGGAAACCUUCAUCAUGGAACACAGACUGUCCAUACCACAGCAGCAUCCCAUAAUGUACAUAGUUUCUCCUUGAACACAGACAUACAACACAGCUCCCUUGCCAUGACACCAAAAUUCACUCAAAGGACAAACUUUCCCUCUGACAAAUGGAAUGAUCUUUGUUAUAUGGUAUUUAUCUAACAGGACACAGGCUUAUCUCUCAUUACACACCCUCCUUAUUCUGUGCACAUUUACCCCAUGAAACGUGUUAAACUUAUGGUAUAGAGACAUUCCCAAUAGCCCUGGACCAUGCUCACUCUUCCACCACAUAUCAAUACAGUAGUAUACCCUGAACCACAUAGAUCAUUCCUUGUUAAACAGAAUUUUAAUUUAAUAACACAGUUGUACUCCAGUGUGCCAAUUCAUCUCUUGAUAAACAUACAGUGCAAAGCUGCAGUGCAAAUACCUGCCUCAUAAGCACUUAUUUGCCACACAUUACCCAAAAUUUCCAUGUUUGCAGAAUUACCUUCUAAGGUACUUAAGGCCCCUCCCCACCUCCAUCACAAAGGUGGUCCACAGUAUCCACAUUUAUCCCACAAUACAGGUGUGAAACUGUAAGAUGUGAACACACACCUCAGAAGCCCACACUCCAUUGCCACAAUGCUGAGACUUCUGUAACAAUAAUGUAGUUUCUAUUUCCUCUCAUGCAACCACUUCUUCCAGUGGUUCUAUCGUCUAGACACAUGCCCCCAGGCACACGAAGCCCAUGUUUCAGUGACUCUCAGAUUUACUACAAAGCACACAGACUGUUUCACUCUUAUCUACAAAGCAAAAUAUACCUAGCAUAUGCACAGAACUUUACCAGAAUGCACAAAAUCAAUUAUUAGUAUACAUACUUGCCUCAUAACUCAUAUACAUUCUUUCAAACAGUGACACUCACCCUAAAUGUACAGACAAGCCUUUCAGGCCACAGACUUGCCCUGUAAUACACUCAAUCAUAAUAUGUGUGUCUUUAAGUUAUAGACUUACCCAUGAAUGCAUAGAUUUGUUCUACAUUGUGCAGUUACAUCACAACACUUUAUAAUGCAAGUAAAAGCCUCCUAUCAUGUGGACAUAUAUACAUAAACCAUGUUACAGAUAUGUACUAUAAUACAUUAUGGACAUGUGUAACACAUAUAUUAACUCCACUUUGCAUAGAUUUCCAUUGUAGAGGACAGACAUGCUUUACCAUAUCAUUGAGCUAAAAUUCUGGCCUACAGCAGAGAUACAGCUUGGUAUCCUUUAAGAGCAAGGCCUCUGGACCCAGGCUUCCUGGCCUUGCCUCCAGAGUCCACCCUUUCCUAAUUAUAUCACCACGGGUAAGUAUAUUUCUAUGUUCUUUGGUUUACUCAUCUGCAAGACAAAGGUGACAGUAGUAACUACUUUGAAGGAUUAUCAUGAAUAAAAAAACAACCUAAGCUAUGUUUAGUAUAAUAAAGUACCUGCUAGAAACUGUUAGAUUUAUUCAUUUACAUUACCAUCACCUACCUCCUUCCAACCCUCCAUUUUUAAUGAAGCUAAGGUGCUCAUUUAAAGUAUCUAAAAUCAUCUAAUAUAGAUUUUCCCACAGUACAUAGAUUAGUUCUGGAACAUACAGAAAUACUAUGCUGCAUACAGACAACACUCCAUAAUACCUUAUACCCUACAGAGUACAGAUAGCACACUAAACUAGAUGCCACUCACAAUGUAAACAUUUACAAUGAAAUUAAGAAAUGUGGUCUAUAAUGCAUAUGCUCACUUCAUAUGUACACAUUUCCUAUCACAACACACAGACUGGAUCUACAAUACCCAGAUUCACCCCAUAUAGCAAAGAUCCACAUUAUACCAUAUAUCUGGUAUAACCAUAAACUUAUAUAACCAUAAACUUAUGUACUGUCUGACAUUCAUCUCAUUAUACACAAAUAUUUAUUCCAAAGCAUGUGGAUUUCCUUGCUAUUCACAAACAUGUUCUUAAAUUCACACUCCUAAGUUUAGAGGAUCAUAUUUGAAUGCAUAGAUUCUUCCUAUAGCACAUUUACUUUAUUUUGUUUGAGUCAUAAACAAUUGUAUGCUUCAUACCUCAUUGCUUACACAUAAAUCUGAUUUAUAUGAAAGCAUCCCCACACAUAUGAUCACAUAUCCCAUACCUCACAAAUUAACUUUUUUAAAAACUUAAAAUACACAUGUAUGGGGAUUCUGCCUGCAAGCAUGUCCACAUACUAUAUAUGUGUCUGCUACCCACACAGGGCAGAUGAGAGUUUAAGGUCCCCUGGAACCUGAGCUACAGACAUUUCUGAGCUUCCCUUUUGGUGCUGAGAAUUGACCCUAGGUCCUCUACAAGAGUGUCAAGUGUUCUUAACUACUAAGUCUUUUCUCCAGCCCGCUCCCCCAAGGGUAGCUUUUUAAGGCUUAUUUAACCCCAAUCAUGCAGAGUUAUCCCCCUAAGCAAUUAUGUUCUUAAAUACCUUACAUCUGUAUGGCAAGGCAGCAUCAACACGAAGUCAUUUUACACUUUCAGGCUUGCAUGUAAGCAACUAGACUCAUAAAAAGCAAAGUCAUGCUUACAAAAACUCAACCCACUCUUCUCAAUGUGGCAUAAAUCAAAGACGAACCUCAGCUCAAAUAAGCGCAAAACAGAGUGCACAAAAAAUUUGGUUAGCUGCAGUUAGAUCAACUCCCAAUUACAAAGCGUGAACUCAGAGCCCCAACUGCCUAGACUGGAAUCCCUAACACAUCAAUGUAAGUUUAUGACUUAAGAAAGGUUUUUGGACCACUCUAUGCCUUUUCUGACCUAUAAAUUUAGAAUAAUAAUGAUUCCUGUACCUACAGCUGUUAAGAGGAGCAAAUGGGUUAGUGCUUCUAAAGUCUCUACAAUAGUACCUGGUCUGCUGAUAUUGCUGUUGUUAACAUGCCCUAAACUGGACAAUAAAAAGGACCUGAAAAGAUUGAGACAGUUCACAGUGCAAGAUGGAGAAAGGGCUUCAUGGAUGGUGUGCAUUUGCCACCUAGUGACCACAGUGAGGGAGAAAGAAUGUCGACAAUCUACUCAGUCCUCUAAACAACGCCACACACCAGUAGGUGAAACCUGGGAUUUGUAUCCUCCGUGGUGGUCCUGAUGAUACGCUUGGUGAUCCAUGUGCCGGAGAAAGAAAGUGGAGAAGACCACGACGAAUACUCCGCAGCAGACUCUGAUUUUCUCUGUUCUUCCCUUACCUCUGUUGUCAUGAGCAGCAUUUUCAUAGGUGCAUUGUUAUCCUCACCAUGAGGACAGAGAAGAAAAGAAAGUUAAUUGCAAAGUAACCACAACUGCUCAUGUCAAGUUUGUUAAAUAUCACUGAAAUGCUCUUUGGUGUUUUGUUUCUGUCACCAAACGAGUUUGUCGUGGACUUUUACACUGCUCCUUUCUGUCUCUUACUCUACCACAAAGGUCUUAAAUUCCUCUGGCAUGCAUAGUGUGAGGGUUUCUGGAACACAUUUUAAAACCUAGCAAAGUGGGAGGGGCUGGGCCUGUUAUCUGUGCAUUGUCCUCUUCAUCCUGAAAUUCUUUAAAUUGUGAGUAUAUCUAACUUGAUAUCUUGCCAGAGGGAAAACUUUGGCAUAAGUUCACUUGUUGUGUGGCAGUUUGCAAGAUAAGUAUUGGCUUAUCCUGAGAGGCAGUGCAUUUAUAAUGAAUUCUUAUGUUUGUAUUGGUACCUAAUCAAGGAGGAAGAAUUAGUAUAGUUCAUAGUAUAGUUCAUUUUCAUAGUUCCUUCCUGUUCUCAUGUUUAUUCUACCUCUACUGUUCUGAGAUAGUGAGCAUUCUCCAAAAAAGGGAUUCUGAUAGUUCCUCUUCCCAGAAGGUAUUGCAGAAUUCUACUUUGAGUGUUUAAUCCACCUUCAGAAUCUCAUUAUUUGACUAAAAUGUAUUAAAGUGAAUUUUGAAUGUUUCAAAUUUCCUAUGCAGAUUUACUCGAGGGGAAAAUAUCACAAAACUAGAGGUAAGACGCCCAGGUAUUAUUUUGUCACAGGCAUAUGAUGACCCUGCCUGGUCUUUUAGCUACUAACACACAUUCUCACCUGCUGUCUAUUUUAAAGUCAGUUGGAUAGUUUUUCUGGAAAUAGACAGGAAGUUUGACUAGCAUUGCUUAAUCUCUUCUAAAUAGCUUGAGCACCCCACCCUGAUUGUAGAUGAUAAUGAUGUGAAAGUGUCUGAAUAGAGAAGGGAAGAAGAAUAAAUCUUGGCAUGAAGUUGCCAAAGAGAGAAGUUUAGUAUAGCCUAAGAUGCACAAAAUGUGUUCAGUAAUUGAACUAAGUGCUGCAUUUGAGCCACGGUAUUAAAGGCCUUGUUCACCCAGUUGUGAAUGAGAUGGCCCACGAUCUCAACACCCUUAGAAGAAGCAAAUAUGGAUUGAAAGGCCGUUGUUGGGUAUUGUGGACCUACCUAGUAUUGUCACAGUGUUUUUGAGUAUUGCUCUAAUUCACAGAUAUUCUUAGCAUGGACUGUGUUUUGGAGUUAGGAAAGGGAAUUUCUGGAAUGUGUUCCUGGCAGUAGGGCCAGCACUUAUAUAUUUGGAAAACAACUUGUGGUUCUGUCUACAGCCCUAGCUGCAAAGUGCUGCUCUAAGGUGAAAUGAAAUUAGGCUAUGAAAAUAGAAGAGAAAUAGCAGUGGGCCCAGGAAACAGAGCAAAUAUGACCAAUUUAGUAUUUCUUCUGUCACUAGUCCAAUGGAUAGUCUUAUUCAAAGUCACUCCAUACUUCUCAUAGCUUCCAAAUGAGAAUACACUCUCUUGGUCUUUAAGGUCCUUCUAAGUCUGACAUUGUCACGUUUAGAGAAAUUGCAUCCAACUUACUGGUUGACUUUGUGAGUAUCUUAGCCUUUAUAAAGAGGCCAGGGUAAAUAGUAGUGUUAAAUUAUGUUCAUAUUAUUUGAAAAUUGUGGUUGUUUGGACUGUGGAUACACUCCAGCAAUAGUACCAUUGCUUGGAAAGUGAGAGGCACAGGAUUCACUCCCCAGCAUUGUAAAAAUGUGCUUGUAAUUCAAGCUUUAUAUUUUUUAGACUCCCAGAAAAGAAAGUUAGGUUUAAGUGAUAUAUAAUAAAAAGCAAACAUAGUCAACUGUUUAAUGAAGAAAACAGCUUCCAUGAGGAGUGUGUGUGUGUGUGUGUGUGUGUGUGUGUGUGUGUAUGUAUUAGAAUCUGAUAACUUUCCCAUGCAUUGAUAUUACCACCUUGGCUAUUAUUUUCCUUAAUUUGAUCAGAUUUAAAGAAACUAAUUUUUAAAUAAAAUUUCAUCAACUAAAAACUCAAAGUAAUAAAGUAAAAUAUUGACCAUUAUUUUAAUGGCGUAGGACUAUCUAGACUGGUAGUUCCCAACCUUCCUAAUUCUGCGACCAUUUAUUAUAGUUUCUCAUGCUGUG